rnacentral:misc_RNA from 1 species
AGAGACAGGUGAAUCAUCGAAUCUUUGAACGCAUCUUGCACUCUCUGGGUCUACUGGAGAGUAUACCUGUUUGAGUAUCAGAAAGUACUCUACUCUAUGGAGUGGGAGUUGAGGUUUAGCUUUGGUUAUUCCUUGGAAAUGAGCUGUGGAAGGUCACUCUCAGUGUGGUAAGAAUAGGUAGUAUUCUCCCACUUUUUUGACUGGAAGCUAUAAAACGUAUAGCGCAAGCUUUACAUAUGAACUUUGAUCUCAAAUCAGGUAGGAUUACCCGCUGAACUUAAGCAUAUCAAUAAGCGGAGG